CCUACGGGAGGCAGCAGUGAGGAAUAUUGGUCAAUGGGCGCGAGUCUGAACCAGCCAAGUAGCGUGAAGGAUGACUGCCCUACGGGUUGUAAACUUCUUUUAUAAAGGAAUAAAGUGAGGCAAGUGUGCCUUUUUGUAUGUACUUUAUGAAUCAGGAUAGGCUAACUCCGUGCCAGCAGCCGCGGUAAUACGGAGGAUCCGAGCGUUAUCCGGAUUUAUUGGGUUUAAAGGGAGCGUAGGUGGGUUGUUAAGUCAGUUGUGAAAGUUUGCGGCUCAACCGUAAAAUGGCAUUUGAUACUGGCAGCCUUGAGUACAGUUGAGGUAGGCGGAAUUCGUGGUGUAGCGGUGAAAUGCUUAGAUAUCUCGAAGAACUCCGAUGGCGAAGGCAGCUUACUAAACUGCCACUGACAUUGAUGCUCGAAAGUGUGGGUAUCAAACAGGAUUAGAUACCCUUGUAGUC
rnacentral:rRNA from 1 species